rnacentral:lncRNA from 1 species
UUUAAUCCCAGCCUUGGAUGCAAAUGGAACUCACUGGGACCUCACACUUAGUAUCUAUGUAAAAAGGAAAGAAAUAUGACUGACAUUCCCAAGGACUCAUUUCUUAGUGUUUACAACAUAGUAUAGGAGACCUUUUCCUAUAUAAUAUCCCCAAACUAUGAAUAAAUGCAAUUAACAUUCACAAUUUUAGGACUUACACAGAUACAUCUAUUAACUAUUUUUCCUUUGAAAUGCAACAGUGUGGGUACCUACUUAUAGAGAUUUUUUUCCCCUGAUUAAAUUGGCAAAAUUAGCCACAGAAAUAUAAACCUUUUGUUUUUGUUUGGUUUUUGUUUUUGUUUUCGUUUUGUUACGAGAUUGGACCCAGGAGCACUUAACCACUGAGCCAUGUCCCCAAUCCCUUUUAUUUUUGAGUCAAGGUUUUCCUAAGUUUCUUAGGGCCUUGCUAAAUUUCUGAGCUGGCCUUAAAUUUGUGAUCCUCCUGCCUCAGCCUCCUGAGUU